rnacentral:tRNA from 1 species
GCCGGCGUAGCUCAAUUGGUAGAGCAACGCAUUUGUAAUGCGUCGGUUGCGGGUUCGAGUCCCAUCGCCGGCU